GUAUUUCCGCCGGCGCGAAACGAGCGUAGCUUCCUUGUCGUGUGGCCUCAGUCCUUCGCCGUCCCUCGCCGUCCUUCGCCAUCGCACGCCACCGCACCCCAUCUCUCGAAAUCUGCAGACAUCUUGAUUUUUCCCACGCUGUCUGUCAGGUCUCCGCCGCCACUCGACGCCAGGGCGCCGGGCCUUGUGGGCUGUGCUGCACCUCGGACGGCUUCGCACCAGCCAGCGCCCUCUCUCUCCUGCAGCACUCUGAUCUGCACCCCCUGAGGGGCUUCCACUGUCCGCGGGGUGAGAAUGCCCCUGGGAGUGUCACAUGACUGCCGCCCCAUGUGUGUGAGAGGCGUCCUCUGGGAGAGCAUGGAUCCUGAGGUCCCAGGAACAUCCCGAGAGCCAAGUUCCCAGAUGCCAGCCAAGGGCCAUCUGACCUGUUUUGAAUCUCAAUUUCCUGAUACAGAAAACAAAGGAUUGUCAGCUGACCUCUGUCCUGUGUGCCCAGUGGCCCCAGGUGACGUGUCUUCAAGAAGAGGCUGAGCUGCGGUGCUUGUAAGGGUCUCAUUCUGUCACCCAGGCUGGAGUGCAGUGGUGCAAUGAUGGCUCACUGCAGCCUCGACCUGGGCUCAAGUGAUCCUCCACCUCAGCUUCCUGAGUAGCUGGGACCACAGAUGGGUCUGCUGUGUGCAGAGGCUCCAUGGGAUGUGUUGUCUUCAUAGUAGCAGGGCGCUGGACCAUGGGUCCGCAAGGUCUCAGCCUUAGAUCCAAGGACAGUCCAAGGAAGUCCUAAGACCAUGGAGUUGGUGAUCUGGGAUCUGGGUUUGCUGAUAUUUCUCACCGUGAAUCUCUUGGUGGUGUUUGUGGGCACGAGAGGGGCAGAGAAUGGAGAGUGAGGCUACCACAUGAAGCGUCACCAGAGCUGCUCCCUGCUGCCUGCUCAGAGCACCCCGGAUCCACUGUUCAAUCUGCACAAGAUUCGGGGUCCAGACAUGGGAGACUUCAGCUGCCUCAGAGGACCGUGGACAGGGAAGGCCAGCCUCGCAUCCCUCUGUCCAUGCCUGGAAUGACUUUAAUAACCAAGAGUUUUAUUUUUGAAUUUGUAGCUGUCGUUCACUUUUUACCCACCCAUUCAAUAAACCUUACAGAAUUGCUCCA
rnacentral:sRNA from 1 species